rnacentral:RNase_P_RNA from 1 species
GAGCCCACCGCGCGACUGGCAACAGGAGCGGCACGGCAAACCCCACCGGGAGCAAGACCGAAUAGGGGCGGUGCGAGGGGAAACCUUCGAGGGCUGUUUCCGGCCCACCGCCCGGGUAGGUUGCGUGAGGCGCAUGGCGACAUGCGCCCAAGAUGAAUGGCCGCCACGUUCUCGCGCCGAAAGGCGCGAGGGCCAUACAGAACCCGGCUUACAGGCCAGCUGGCAUU